UCAGUACUCUUGCCUGGAUGAGUACUGCCCACAGAGGAGCCUGGUGGGCUAUAGUCCAUGGGGUCUCACGGAGUUGGACAGGACUGAGCAACUGAGCAUAGCUCACUUUUAUAGCAGUCUCUUAUAUUUCAUUCUUUCUCAUAUAAUCGGCAAGUUAUAGAUUCAGGUUUUGAUGAUGUCAGUAUCUGAAGGUUUUGAAAGUCAGGUUUUCUGUCUCUUUAAUUUAGUUUCUCCUCACGGUGCUUAGUUACCUGGUACGUUUGGUGAUUUUUCUUUUACUUGUGAAACGUGCUUUUUUCCUUGGAAAAUUAUUGUGAGAAUUCCCUAAGGUGAGUGUGUUCCACAGAGAGGAAUUGUAUUUCUUCUGCUCUAUUCUUGGGACCAGGUCUUGUUCCACAAAAUCUCAUAACUUUUUGCGCAGUAAGUAUGGAAAAUGAGAGUGACAUUUGGAAAUUUUUAUAGCAACUUCACAUUGCUAUAGAUAGCAUCACUGUUCUGUGUUUGUCCUUUUGUUUCCGUAUCGUGAUUUUGUGCGGUUCAUUUUUAUUUCAUUUUACAAAACUUCUCAUGGGUUGGAAAUGAAGCAAACAGCCCAGUACUUCACCAUCAGGGUAGUUUUAGAGGUUCUGUUUUGAACAAAAUUGACAACACUUUUGGACUUCCCACUUAAUGUGUAUUGAUAAGUUAGGUUGCAGAUUCAUGUGAGUGCUAGUUUUUGUUACAGCGUCUCUAUAUUUAAUCCUUUGCUGCUUUUCUCAGCAUUUAAGGAUGUGUCCCUGUUGUGUUUUUCUGUGUAGUUUGAUAAGAGUCCUUUUCACUUUCUUUGAUAAGAGUCCUUUUCACUUUCAACUUACAUCGCAGGUGUAGCAUUUUAGAGAUCCCAAAUUUGAGAAGUGUCCUCUGUUAGAUUUCCCACCCUGGGUGAGCCCUGGGUUUUGUCUUCCGUCUGUUGUACUCUAUGAGAAAUUAAAAAUGAAAACUAAAAAAAAAAAAUCCACUAGGUUGACCAGAUGCCCUUAGGGGAAAAAUGGCUUUAAUGUCCUAUUAUCAUUCCUUUCUUUCUUUCUUUUCUGUGAAUUG
rnacentral:lncRNA from 1 species